AAUCAACGCUGGCGGCGUGCCUAACACAUGCAAGUCGAACGAGAAAGUGGAGCAAUCCAUGAGUAAAGUGGCGCACGGGUGAGUAACACGUGACUAACCUACCUUUUAGUGGGGGAUAACCUAGGGAAACCUGGGCUAAUACCGCAUAAUACUUACGAGUCAAAGCAGCAAUGCGCUGAAAGAGGGGGUCGCGGUCGAUUAGUUAGUUGGCAGGGUAAUGGCCUACCAAGACUGUGAUCGAUAUCCGGCCUGAGAGGGCGCACGGACACACUGGAACUGAAACACGGUCCAGACUCCUACGGGAGGCAG
rnacentral:rRNA from 1 species